GAGAGGAACCGUUGAUUCG
rnacentral:sRNA from 1 species